CCGCCGGCCGCGCCCCACCCCUGCUGCCCCCCUUACGGCGCCUCCUUCUCAGUGCUCAGCCCGCGCGCGCUGCUGCCGCCGCCGCCGCCGUGAUUCCAUCCAUCUUGAAUUUGACGUCAUCCCACACCAGGGAUGAGGAGGUGAAGGCCCAGCUCAGUGUAUGAAGAAACACUGCCCAAUGGCACACACAUGGCAUCCUGCCUUGCAGGCCAGUCCCCUGUUCCCUGGAAUUAGGGGCCCUGGUGGAUUUUGGCUAGGACCCUUUGUAACUGCUGUGCUGGUUCAUCUUGAUGUGAUUUGAGAAUUUAUAAUGGACUUCAUUAUCGCUUCAGGCUUGCUUCUCAUUUGAUAUUAUCCACUUUGAAUUAAAUACCUGAAUAGGGCUUUAUGUGCUGAAAUACAAGUAUUAAAAUAGAAUUUAGAAUUACAA